rnacentral:lncRNA from 1 species
CUGCAAUCUCAGCCUCCUGGGUUCAAGCGAUGCUCUUGCCUCAGCCUCCCAAGUAGCUGGUAUUACAGGAUGCCACCCACUGUAUAGUUCUGCUUUCCCAGAGAGGAAGAACUUUUAGAAACCAAAUGAUCUUAAUUGUUAUUGCCCACCCCUGGCUUUUCCGGGUAGAAAAUUCACAGUAGGAAUGAUUGUUAAGAGAGAGUGCUUGGAACCAUGGGUUAACAGGAAAGGCUACCUAACUUCACAUAUCUGCAACCAGAGCAGCCACCAAGCAUUACUUAGCAGCAGGAAAAUGAUUGUAUUUGAGUUCCUGUGUGUCCAAAACUGAGCACCAUGUUCUUUGAAAACAUGCCACCUCAAGGCUGGGCGCGGUGGCUCACACCUGUAAUCCCAGCACUUUGGGAGGCCGAGGCGGGCGGAUCACCGGAGGUCGGGAGUUUGAGACCAGCCUGACCAACAUGGAGAAACCCCAUCUCUACUAAAAAUACAAAAUUAGCCGGGCGUGGUGGCAUGCGCCUAUAAUCUCAGCUACUUGGGAGGCUGAGGCAGGAGAAUUGCUUGAACCCAGGAGGCGGAGGUUGCGGUGAGUUGAGAUCGUGCCAUUGCACUCCGGCCUGGGCAACAACAGCAAAACUCCGUCUCAAAAAAAAAAAAAAAAAAAUGCCACCUCACAGUCUCUAUCGUUGGGCCCUGUGGUUGCAAAGCUGCCUCCUGAAUUAAGAAGGAAAGGGAAAAGAUAUAGCUGGAAGCGAGUGGAAGAGAUGCUGAGGGCUGGGGCUGCACAGACGUGCUCAGCAGGGCUACAGGUGCUCAAGCCCUAUUGGGGAUGGGUGGGGAGUGGGGCAGCGGCGUUUGCCACCUUAAGAAUUGGGGCCAAAGCCACUGAUGUUUAUUUGACAGUGACACUGCACUGGGUACUUAAAGAAAUUAUUUCCCGUUGUAAUUAUAAUUACUGCUUAUUAAGGAAAAUAUGGGAAUUUUAGAAAGAAUCAAGUUUGCCACCCAAAUGCUACCACUGUUAAUCUUUUGGUGUUAAAUGUUCCCCCUAGACAUUUCUGUGCAUAGAUUUUUGGUGUGUUUACAUAGUCGUUAUUCUGUAUAUACAAUUUUAUGUCCCUUUUGUACUUAACGUAUAAACAUUUUUUCCAUGUUACAGUCUUAAAC